rnacentral:rRNA from 1 species
AUGGUGGAAGGCUCUGCUAGCGACAUCACGAACUUGAAGUUCCUCCUGCUCUGCUUUCAGCAGAUGUCCAGUCUCAGGAUUAACUUUGAUAAGAGUGUUGUAAUGGUGUUGGGCUACUCCCAAGACGAACGCCAGAGCAUCGCGGACCGUCUGAACUGUCAGCUCGGGAGCUUCCCCACGACAUAUUUGGGGAUCUCCAUUACUGACUCGAGGCUCACGGUGGCCGAGCUGCGCCCCACGGUGGGCAAGCUCCAGCACCGCAUUGAGCCUUGGUAGGGGCGGUGGCUCUCUAUAGCAGCCCGGACUGUGCUCAUUAAGUUGUCCCUAUCUAGUCUGCUCCUAUUCAUCAUGAGCUUCUACAGCCUGCCAGAGACACUACAUCAUGAGAUUGCCAGAGUCCAGGGGCGCUUCUUCUGGGCUGGCGAGGGCGUUAUGCAGAAGUACCACAUGGUUCGGUUGACUGAGAUCUGUAAGCCUCGCGAUCAGGGUGGCCUCGGGAUCAUGUCCUCCAACUGCAUGAACAUUGCCCUCCUGACUAGGUGGCUUUGGCGGAUUGCGAACGGAGAGGGUGGCUUGUGGCUCUACAUCAUUCAGCAGAAAUACCUCUGUGGCCAGCCACUCGCCUUCUGUCAGCGAUCCGGUGGCUCCCAGUUCUGUCAAUCCAUCAUAGCUCCUCCCGGUCCUUCGCAUCGGGACAUCGAUUGCGGUUGGAUCUGGCACCGCCAGACUGUUCUGGUUCGAUCGAUGGGCUGGGAACGCCCCCUUCGCGUCUUGUUUUCCUGA